CAGUUCCUUAACCCUAAAGGGGGGUAAUAGGGCCUGCCUGUAAGUAAGGAUGACAUGGCAUAGGGCACUCUUAGCAUAGUGCCUGGCAAGAAGGAAGUGCUCAGAACUGGUGGCAAUCAUGGUUUUUGUAACAGAAGAGGUGGAGGGCGCAGGGCACCCUGGAAAGAACACGCACUUGGCAUCAGGAGAUCUUCACAUGACCAUUUACCACCUAAACAGUUCUCAGCACAUGAAGUUCAUAUGAAAUGUGUACUUGCUGAAGAAACUUACAGAUCAAGUCACCCAAAAGCUCUGUUUACUCUUCCUGGGAAAACAGAUGUCUUACAGAUGAACUUCACAGCUUCUUGCCACGUAGCCAUGCACCCUUUCCUUUUCUUCAUACUUCACUCAACACCAAGAAAUACAACCUCUUUCUUCAGGACUAUCCACUUUUAAAUAAACCCACUCUGAGAAUCCAGGUGAAGGCACUGACCUUUCAGCUCCAGCAAGCAGGUGCCAGACUCCCCGGCUCCCAAAGGGACAUUGUCCAUGGGAACUUAAAAAAUGAAGUCAUCAGUUUCCCAGCUUCUAGAUCCAAAAGACUCAGUCCAGGCACAGAUGGGCUGGAAGAAGUUACACUCAGAGUCCAGGUAAAGAUUCUCAGAGCUGGGGAGCUGGGGAGAGGGGUAUAAGAAAGUUAGAUAUUGAGGCAUUUUUCAGGAGGGUCACACUGCUCUUUUGCUCAGGCCAUG
rnacentral:lncRNA from 1 species